rnacentral:tRNA from 1 species
GCUCGCUUAGCUCAGUGGGAGAGCGCUGCCUUCACACGGCAGAGGUCGGCGGUUCGAAACCGCCAGCGAGCA